rnacentral:rRNA from 1 species
AUUGAACGCUGGCGGCAGGCCUAACACAUGCAAGUCGAACGGUAACAGGAAGCAGCUUGCUGCUCGCUGACGAGUGGCGGACGGGUGAGUAAUGUCUGGGAAACUGCCUGAUGGAGGGGGGAUAACUACUGGAAACGGUAGCUAAUACCGCAUAACGUCGCAAGACCAAAGAGGGGGACCUUCGGGCCUCUUGCCAUCAGAUGUGCCCAGAUGGGAUUAGCUAGUUGGUGGGGUAACGGCUCACCAAGGCGACGAUCCCUAGCUGGUCUGAGAGGAUGACCAGCCACACUGGAACUGAGACACGGUCCAGACUCCUACGGGAGGCAGCAGUGGGGAAUAUUGCACAAUGGGCGCAAGCCUGAUGCAGCCAUGCCGCCGUGUAUGAAGAAGGCCUUCGGGUUGUAAAGUACUUCAGCGGGGAGGAAGGUGUUGUGGUUAAUAACCGCAGCAAUUGACGUUACCCGCAGAAGAAGCACCGGCUAACUCCGUGCCAGCCGCCGC